GAGUUUGAUCCUGGCUCAGAGCGAACGCUGGCGGCAGGCUUAACACAUGCAAGUCGAGCGGGCGUGGCAAUACGUCAGCGGCAGACGGGUGAGUAACGCGUGGGAACAUACCUUUUGGUCCGGAACAACACAGGGAAACUUGUGCUAAUACCGGAUAAGCCCUUACGGGGAAAGAUUUAUCGCCGAAAGAUUGGCCCGCGUCUGAUUAGCUAGUUGGUAAGGUAAAGGCUUACCAAGGCUAUGACGGUUAGGGGCCCCGAGAGGGGAGACCCCCACACUGGAACUGCGACACGGUCCAGACUCCUACGGGAGGCAGCAGUUUGGAAUUUUGGACAAUGGGCGAAAGCCUGAUCCAACGACGCCGCGUGGACGAUGAAGGCCUUCGGGUCGUAAAGUCCUUUUGCUUGGGAAGAAUUUUUGACUGUACCAAGCGAAUAAGAGGUUGCUAACUCUGUGCCAGCAGCAGCGGUAAUACAGAGACCUCAAGCGUUAUCCGGAAUCAUUGGGCGUAAAGCGUACCGAUCGGUGGUUUAGAAAGUCAGAGGUGAAAUCUCAAGGCUCAACUUUGAGACUGUCCUUUGAAACUUCUAAGCUAGAGGGGCAAAGAGGAAGCUGGAAUGAACGGUGUAGGGGUAAUAUCCGGUGAUAUCGUUCAGAACACCAAUAGCGAAGGCAGGCUUCUGGGUGCCACCUGACACUGCUAGGACGAAAGCGUGGGGAGCGAAUGGGAUUAGAUACCCCAGUAGUCCACGCUGUAAACGAUGCACAUUAGGUGCUAGGGAGUAUCGACCCUCCUUAGUGCCACAGCUAACGCGUUAAAUGUGCCGCCUGGGGAGUACGGCCGCAAGGCUAAAACUCAAAGGAAUUGACGGGGACCCGCACAAGCGGUGGAUGAUGUGGAUUAAUUCGAUGCAACGCGAACAACCUUACCUACCCUUGACAUGUCCGAGAGCCUGCUGAAAGGUGGGUGUGCCUGAAAGGGAAUCGGAACACAGGUGCUGCAUGGCUGUCGUCAGCUCGUGUCGUGAGAUGUUGGGUUAAGUCCCGCAACGAGCGCAGCCCUUGUCCCUAGUUGCUACGCAAGGGCACUCUAGGGAGACUGCCGGUGACAAACCGGAGGAAGGUGGGGAUGACGUCAAGUCCUCAUGGCCCUUAUGGGUAGGGCUUCACACGUCAUACAAUGGCCGGUACAGAGGGUUGCCAACCCGCGAGGGGGAGCCAAUCCCAGAAAGCCGGUCGUAGUCCGGAUUGCAGUCUGCAACUCGACUGCAUGAAGUCGGAAUCGCUAGUAAUCGCGGAUCAGCAUGUCGCGGUGAUACGUUCCCGGGUCUUGCACACAC
rnacentral:rRNA from 1 species